CCCAAAUUUGCCCCAGAGCGCGGUUGACAGGGUGCAGCCGGGAGAGGCCGCGCUGGGACGGAGAUAUAGUGGAAACGUUCCUGGAUGUUCAGGGCGCGCCGUCCCACCGGCUGCUGGCCAGAGCCCCGGGAAGGCGAGGAUGCACCUUCUCCCCUGCCUUGGAAAGACUGCUUGAUAUCCUGAGAAAUCUGCUUUCUGAUCAAAUUGAAAUAAUCCGAUGCAACAACUGAAUUGUCAGCAGGGGCUUCUGCCCAAGCACCAGUUGGAAAUUUCAGAGUCAUUGUCAAGAUCAGCCGCUCAGACCAUCCUGUCACCUAAGAUGUGGCUGGGAAUAAUGGCCUCAAGUUGGCCACACUCCAGUCUUCAGUACCUCACUAGGACCACCUGGCAGGCAGAAGAAUACCCCCUUUCCAAAGAGGUACACGUGCUAAUAUCUGGAAUCUAUGAAAAUGUAAUAUGGCAAAGCAGAAUGAAGGCUGCUAAUUUGCUGACCUUAAGAUGGGGAGAUCACCCUGGAUUCUCUAAAUGGGCCCAAAGUAAUCACAAGGUACUGAAAUGUGGAGAGUGAGGUGAGGUGAGGACUGGACCUGCUGUUGCUGGUUUUGAAGAUGAAAGAAAGCAGCGAUGAGCCAUGGGAUGCAAAGGCAAGGGAGCAGAUUAUUCCCUACGACAGGAGUCCCAAAUCUCCAGGCCAUGGACCAGUACCAGUCCCUUGCCUUUUAGGAACAGGGCUGCAUAGCAGGAGGCCAGUGUCAGGCAAACUAAUGAAACUUCAUCUGUAUUUACAGCGGCUCCCUGUCUCUCACAGCACUGCCUGAGCUCCACCUCCUGUCAGAAUUGCUGCUGCAUUCAAUUCUCAUAGGAGCGCAAACCUGACUGUGAACUGUGCAUGCGCAGGAUCUAGGUUGCCUCUCUUGUGAGAAUCUACUGCCUGAUGGAUGAUCUAAAGUGGUGCCGAAAUGAUGAUGCUCGCAUUGGGGCACGGAAUUGCUACACAUUGCAAACAUAUACCAAUAAAAAGAUAAACACUCCACUUCAUGGAAAAAGUGUCUCCCAUGACUGGUGCCAAGAAGUUUGGGGAUUGCUGCCCUACAGUGUCCACAAAGGUAUGGGGCCCUACACCUUGAUUUUAUCCUGGUGAGACCCUCAUGAGACUUCCAGCCCAUGGUACCACACAGUUUAAAAUUUGUAUUGUUUCAAGCUACUAAAUUAGUGGUAAUCAGUUACAGCAGCAAUAGGAGACUGAUAUA
rnacentral:lncRNA from 1 species